rnacentral:rRNA from 1 species
GAUGAACGCUGGCGGCGUGCUUAACACAUGCAAGUCGAGCGAAGCACUUAAGUUCGAUUCUUCGGAUGAGGACUUUUGUGACUGAGCGGCGGACGGGUGAGUAACGCGUGGGUAACCUGCCUCAUACAGGGGGAUAACAGUUAGAAAUGGCUGCUAAUACCGCAUAAGACCACAGUACUGCAUGGUACAGUGGUAAAAACUCCGGUGGUAUGAGAUGGACCCGCGUCUGAUUAGGUAGUUGGUGAGGUAACGGCCCACCAAGCCGACGAUCAGUAGCCGACCUGAGAGGGUGACCGGCCACAUUGGGACUGAGACACGGCCCAGACUCCUACGGGAGGCAGCAGUGGGGAAUAUUGCACAAUGGGCGAAAGCCUGAUGCAGCGACGCCGCGUGAAGGAUGAAGUAUUUCGGUAUGUAAACUUCUAUCAGCAGGGAAGAAAAUGACGG